UAAGAAAUGUUUAGAUUCAGCAUAUCAAAGAACCCCAAGAAUUCAAUUUUUGUUGAAAUCAAACAAAGUUUAAUUUUGGACCCCGAUUUGCACCAACUUGAAAAAUGGGCCCAUAAUCAAAAAUCUAAGUACAUGUUUAGAUUCAGCAUAUCAAAGAACCCCAAGAAUUCAAUUUUUGUUAAAAUCAAACUAAGUUUAAUUUUGGACCCUUUGGACCUUAAUGUAGACCAAUUUGAAAACGGGACCAAAAAUUAAGAAUCUACAUGCACAGUUAGAUUCGGCAUAUCAAAGAAUCCCAAUUAUUCAAUUUUUG
rnacentral:lncRNA from 1 species